rnacentral:rRNA from 1 species
CAAAAACAUGUCCUCUUGAUUAUAUUUUGAGGUCUGGCCUGCUCACUGAUAAAUUUAAAGAGCCGCGGUAUUUUGACCGUGCAAAGGUAGCAUAAUCAUUAGUCUUUUAAUUAAGGGCUGGAAUGAAUGGCUUGACGAGAAAUUAACUGUCUCUUAAUAAUUUAUAAAAUUUAACUUUUGAGUCAAAAGGCUUAAAUUUUUCUUUAGGACGAGAAGACCCUAUAGAGCUUAACAUAUAAUUUAUAUUUAUACAUUAGAUGGUUUUUAUAUAUUUAAUGAUAAUGUUUUGUUGGGGUGACAUGAAGAAUUAAUAAACUCUUCAUUAUAAAAUCAUUAAUUUAUGUUUGUUUUUGAUCCAUAAUUUAUGAUCAUAAGAUUAAGUUACCUUAGGGAUAACAGCGUAAUUGUUUUUGAGAGCUCAAAUCAACAAAGCAGAUUGCGACCUCGAUGUUGGAUUAAGAAAAAUUUUGGGUGC